rnacentral:misc_RNA from 1 species
GUAUUGGGGCAUUACUUCCGCACUUGUGCCUCGCAUCUCCCUCUGUGACCCUCCACCCCGUCGUCUCACAAGGGAAGGACCUGCACGGCACUAGCUGAGGAGACGCUGCUGGAAGCGCUAGAGCCCUCUCUCUCUUUUUGCCGCCGACACCCACGAAAAGGACUCUCGAGCGAUAUUGACGCCCCUCCUCCUCCACCCCCCAAAACGGCGAUGCGGCGCCUGCAGCGGCGCAUUCUCAGCGCACGCACGCCGGUGCGUUUAUUUGACAGUGAUGAGCGCUUCGGCAAGGAGCUUGGCUUUGGACACAAGAUGCGCGAUAUCCCAGUACUGACCGGUAACCCGCGCCCAGUAGCUCGAGAAGAGUCGUGGCGGUGCGCGUACAAGCUGAGUGACCGUAUGGAGUUCGUGGUGCGCGACAUCCUCACAAAGAACAAGUGGAGCCCCUUAGAAGUGGAUCGAGAGCUGGCGCACAUAUUCGAGCGCAAGGAGGUCGGCAGUCGCUCCUCUCUCAACACCUGGUCGACCGUGGAGGAGUUCCAGCGAACGCCAUGGUACCGGCGCUACAAGCCGACGGAUGACACAGCGGCCAAGUUCAUCUCGUACGAGGCGAUGAAGCUCCUCGAGAGUGCCUUGAUUCCGCCUUCGCUACGCACGGACCCGUACGCUCACCUGCGCAAGAGGCAUAUGGAGGACAACUGGAUAAAUGACAAGUUCUCCGAGGACACAGCCAGGUAUAUUACGCGAGAGCGGCUGGCGCAGCACACGAAAGGGAUGCCCCAGUACGGUCAAAUGAGUCGCCGUAAGUACAUGGAGUUCGAGAGAAAGUUUAGAAAUAUGCACGGCUCCAACAUGCAUGUGAAUGAGAUUUACUCCGCCUGGCUGAAUUCGCUCGACGCCAAGGAUGGCGAAAAGCGGCAAGAUGAAUGAGAGACGAGAGCGCGUGCGGCGAAGAAGGGCAGCGCGAAACGAAAAAAAAAAUAAAAAAAAAGGAAUGGACGCGUGCAGCUCUCAUGGAGAUGGCGCAUUUCGGGAGCGACGCUGUCGUGCUCCUCUUCGCUCUGCUUCCGCUGCCAAUGCGCGUACGUGAGUGCCAAUGACGUACACACAUUGGCAGGCACACAAAGAAACCAAGCACGAAAUGCACCCUGAUAACGUUGAUUUCCCGCGCUGUCAGUGGAUUGGAGACGUCAGAUGCGCCGUCUUGAGGUGAUGUCUGCCAAGUGUUCUCUUGCCGCGUUCUUCUAAGGCUCGAAGGGCCUUGCGCAUUCCAUCUUUCUCUCUCGUCCGCGCCAUGACGAGCCUCAUUCUCGCACGUGAGGUUUUGCGUAAGGCUCGCCUACAAAGGAGAGAUACACACGAAAAAAAAAACAACGAACAAGUAGAAAGCAACCACGGACAAAAUCUGAGUAUCCACAGCCGUGACGAGAUCGCCGUGUGCGCGAGUGCGUGGCUGCUUGAGCCCUCUUUUACUCCCGCGUUCUGUUCCCCUUCUUUUCUCUCAACUUCGCCGUUUUUUUUCUGCGUCUUACUAUCUUCCUCACUUCAUCGCCCUUUGCUGUGGGCGUCCACCUCUCGAUGGCCGCGUACGUUCGUGAG